GAACCUCCCACUUAGGGAAAAAAACGUCACACAUAUACCGGCACAGUCAUCUGGGUGCCCGCUUCCUGAAUCAGGGAAAGGGUUGAUGUCUGGGGUGUAUGGAGGCCUAACC
rnacentral:sRNA from 1 species